AACGAUAAUGCGGGUGAAAAACCCGCACGCCGAAAGCCCAAGGUUUCCUUGCGCAACGUUAAUCGGCGCAGGGUGAGUCGGCCCCUAAGGCGAGGACGAAAGUCGUAGUCGAUGGGAAGCAGGUUAAUAUUCCUGCACCUCGCGUAAGUGCGAUGGAGGGACGGAGAAGGUUAGGUGUACCCGGCGUUGGUUGUCCGGGGGAAAGGCGGUAGGUUUGGAUCUUUGGCAAAUCCGGGAUCCUUUAAGACCGAGCACCGAGACGAGCCUUUAAGGCGAAGUCACUGAUACCACGCUUCCAGGAAAAGCUCCUAAGCUUCAGCUUACGCAGACCGUACCGUAAACCGACACAGGUGGGUAGGAUGAGAAUUCUCAGGCGCUUGAGAGAACUCGGGUGAAGGAACUAGGCAACAUGGCACCGUAACUUCGGGAGAAGGUGCGCCCUUUUUGGUGGCUCAUGCGAGCUAUAGCUGAAGAGGGCCGCAGUAACCAGGCCGCUGCGACUGUUUAUCAAAAACACAGCACUCUGCAAACACGAAAGUGGACGUAUAGGGUGUGACGCCUGCCCGGUGCUGGAAGGUUAAUUGAUGGGGUCAGCCGCAAGGCGAAGCUCUUGAUCGAAGCCCCAGUAAACGGCGGCCGUAACUAUAACGGUCCUAAGGUAGCGAAAUUCCUUGUCGGGUAAGUUCCGACCUGCACGAAUGGCGUAACGACAGCGGCGCUGUCUCCACCCGAGACUCAGUGAAAUUGAAAUCGCUGUGAAGAUGCAGCGUUCCCGUGGCAAGACGGAAAGACCCCGUGAACCUUUACUAUAGCUUUACACUGAACGUUGAGUUCGUCUGUGUAGGAUAGGUGGGAGGCUAUGAAACUGUGGCGCUAGCUGCAGUGGAGCCAUCCUUGAAAUACCACCCUGUCGUGCUUGACGUUCUAACCUAGGUCCAUAAUCUGGAUCGGGGACCGUGUAUGGUGGGUAGUUUGACUGGGGCGGUCUCCUCCUAAAGAGUAACGGAGGAGCUCGA
rnacentral:rRNA from 1 species